CAUUGAUCUAAAUACAAUAUGGAUAUGAAUUUAUAUGUACUUUAAUGUCAUCAAUAUUAAUGUGAGUUCCAAAUAAAAAUCCAUAAAAUUGUUGAACAUGGAGCAGACAGAUAUAAAGGUCUAGGGGAACAGCAUUUCAGAUGGAGGAACAGGCAAGGAGAGAAGCUUGGAGUGUGGUGAGGAACAACAAGGAGAGAAGCUUGGAGUGUGGUGAGGAACAGGCAAGGAGAGGAGCUUGGAGUGUGAUGAGGAACAGGCAAGGAGAGGAGCUUGGAGUGUGGUGAGGAACAGGCAAGGAGAGAAGCUUGGAGUGUGGUGAG
rnacentral:lncRNA from 1 species